CACAGAACUGGCUAACUAACAUUUAUCAGAACCCCUAAUCUGAACCAAGCCCGGGAUGCAACAUAGAAAGACUUGACUAUUUAGACAUCUCCUUUUCCCCCAUUUAUGGUUGGUUCCUUUGCAGCAGACUGCUACAGACCUCAUUCCAAACUGGUUUCAGGUUUCAUGGUUUCCUGUAAGGUACAUUUCUUAGUGCAGCAUCACAGAAUGUCCAAGGGAACAAUGUUGGCACACCUACCUUAUGUCUCUGGCUGACUCAGCGUCACAUCACAUUAGCUUGCAAUUUUCACAAUGAGCAGCCUCUUGGACAUAGGACAAGAGGAAAAGACUUAGCACACUGCCAGUCUAUAUCUAGAUGAACUGAAAUGGAAGAAGACUUACAGUUUCCCAAAACAGGGAAGGGGAUAUGAAGGUUUGUAAAGGAUUUUUCAAGGAAACAAGUCUGAUGAUUACUCAAAGCAUGAAGCAUUUCUUCCACUUGAGCACAAUAAGCUAAGAAAGACUUUUCUACUGCCUGCCAGGGAGCUGAACAGACCUGUGCCAUGAUUUCAGGGGCUGCAGAGAAUAGUCAAUGAAGCAAAAUAGAUACCUCAAGGGAAUGAUUCUUCUCACCCUAAGAUUGGUAUCUAGGAUACGUCAGAUGGAUUGCUCUUCGGAGUGAGGGAAGAGCCCCAUCCAUCCCCAUGGAUGUUUCCUGCUAUUGCACCCUAACCAAGAUACAGAAAGGUGUGGGAUUCCAGGAACCCAAUGGAGGCCAUUUACAAAGCUGGACUCUGUGAUGAAUGAAUGGUCACUGAUAAGAAGAGAUCAGCUUUCAAAUCCUUAUGCCUUGAGUUGUUUAUGCAUUUCACACUGCGUGGUGAUUAGAAAAUCAGAAGCAGGCUGGUGAGGACUAGAAUCUGAUUUCCUCCACACCCAAGCAGAGGACCCUCAGAACUUGAAUGUCAAGUGAUCUUUCUCUCCUGUUCUCAUUUGCCACAAGUCUUGCAUUCCUUUUCAUAUACUCAAACAGCUACACAUGAAAACCAA